rnacentral:rRNA from 1 species
AAAGCGAUUCAGCGGGUUACGAUUGACGGAGCGAAGCGACGUCAAAGCGUAUACAAAGUCGAGUCGGUUUAAGGAUACGUUCGUUGGGUAGGGGAGCGUUCUGUAAGCCUGUGAAGGUGGCCUGUGAGGGUUGCUGGAGGUAUCAGAAGUGCGAAUGCUGACAUAAGUAACGAUAAAGCGGGUGAAAAGCCCGCUCGCCGGAAGACCAAGGGUUCCUGUCCAACGUUAAUCGGGGCAGGGUGAGUCGACCCCUAAGGCGAGGCCGAAAGGCGUAGUCGAUGGGAAACGGGUUAAUAUUCCCGUACUUGGUGUUACUGCGAAGGGGGGACGGAGAAGGCUAUGUUGGCCGGGCGACGGUUGUCCCGGUUUAAGCGUGUAGGUGUGUGUUCCAGGUAAAUCCGGUUCACUUUAACACUGAGGCGUGAUGACGAGGCACUACGGUGCUGAAGUAACAAAUGCCCUGCUUCCAGGAAAAGCCUCUAAGCAUCAGGUAACAUCAAAUCGUACCCCAAACCGACACAGGUGGUCAGGUAGAGAAUACCAAGGCGCUUGAGAGAACUCGGGUGAAGGAACUAGGCAAAAUGGUGCCGUAACUUCGGGAGAAGGCACGCUGACAC